GCCGGGCGCAGGGGCCCACGCCUGUCAUCCCAGUGGCUAGGGAGGCCGAGGCAGGAGGAUCACAAAUUGGAGGCCAGCCUCAGGCACUUAGCGAGGCCCUAAGCAGCUCAGCGAGACCCUGUCUCUA
rnacentral:sRNA from 1 species